rnacentral:rRNA from 1 species
CGGGUGAGUAACGCGUGAGCAACCUGGCCUAUACAGGGGGAUAACAGGGAGAAAUUCCUGCUAAUACCGCAUAAGACCACAGUAUCGCAUGGUACUGGGGUCGAAGGAGAGAUUCGGUAUAGGAUGGGCUCGCGUCCCAUUAGCUAGUUGGGGGUGCAACGGACCACCAAGGCGACGAUGGGUAGCCGACCUGAGAGGGUGAUCGGCCACACUGGGACUGAGACACGGCCCAG